ensembl:snoRNA
AACAGAUGAUGAACUCAUUGACAGGCAUGCAGAGACUGUGUGCUGAUUGUCAUGUUCUGAUUU